GCGCCCGUAGCUCAGGGGUAGAGCAUCCGCCUUUUAAGCGGGUGGUCGCGCGUUCAAAUCGCGCCGGGCGCA
rnacentral:tRNA from 2 species